UCUAGGGCACUUAAUAACUUCUAGGGUUUUUUCCGUUUUUAUACCAUUUUGCUUUUAGACCAAGGGAAUGCAUUUUUAAAAAAAAUUUAUUCAGCCUUAAUUGCUCUCAGGUAAAGUAGGUAAUGGUCUCAAGUAAUGUGCGUUACUCCCAAGUCCCAACUCCCAAAUAAUCCAGUUCGCAGUUCCGGAGUUCCCUUGGGAAAACAAAAUUUUUUUGGCCAUCUUCGUCAAUCGGUCAAUGACAACGACUACGGUGGAAUCCGGUGUUAUUUACUAUAUUUUACGAUUUUUCAGGGUUUUCUAAAUUUAAAAUAUUGUUUUUUUUCUGGACUGUUUAUGAAUGAUCAGAGUCAGAAAACUAGGUUCUAUGACUGGAAUGAUGAAAUUUGUAAAUCUAAGUUUUUUGGGCUUUGAUCUUUGCAACGUUGCAGUCAUCCCCAUCCUUUCAAAAUGGAAGUAGUGCCCUCUAAACACCGCGUUUAUUGAGAACGAGAGACGCAAGCAUGCAAGCCUCGUGUUUCGUGGUUUAUUUGCGGUUGCAAAAUGAAGUGAAGGAACAAAACUGCCAUGCUUCUCAUUUUUGCUCGUGCACAGGCUCUGUUCUAUGUUUGCGAAAAUUCCAAGUUUCACUUAAGGGAAAAUGAGCUUCAAAAGAACCCAACCAGUGCACCAUUGACGACAGCCAUCUGGAGCAUGAGGAUAUCUUCUUCUGGAUACUUCUCAAAAUCAUUUGCUCUUCAAAUUAAAAAAAUCUGAUGAGAUUUAUCAGGUUUCUGGUAACAAAGUCAAGUUUCUGCUCCCAUUGUGUGGCAGUGCAUAACAUAGAUUUUUCUGUGCAAGCGAACUGUGAUCCUCAAGUCCAAAUUCAGGAAACUUGGUCUUCGCCAAUAUGCGACUAUUAGCUUGCAUGACGUCUCCCCUCUAUUUUCACCUCUUCGCUUCCUGAUUUGCUCGGAAAACACACGGAAAAUGUCCUUGGCAAUUACAAAUAAGGUAGGUCUCAUUUGCCUUAUUCGGUUAUUGUUUAUUAUCUUCUUCCAUACGUGUGGUAGCAAUUAGAGCCAUGUCCAUCAGUAUAUCGGCAGACUGAUAAUUCCGAGAGUGUGGGUAUAAAAUACGGUACCAAUAGUAUUUACUUCAAUUAUGAUGCGUCGUACCCGCUAGACGGCCCCUUUCUGUUUCUGAUGGGCACGUUUUACCGAAAGAAUUGCCCUGGCCUAUUGAAUCGAUUGCGUUCUCAGUAGACAUUUUAAAAAAUCAUCGCGUCUGUUUGGUCUCAACGAUUUGCCAUGUAAUUUUUUCGCCACCAACCAUCCCUUUUAAUUACGCCACUUUCAAUUACUUCCAACAGAGGACCCAACCUUAAUCGAGCGUUCAUUUUAUGGCUUGUUUAUUGGUCACUGUAGUUCGUUUGCGUGGGUAGCUAUGAACAUUCAAAAACUCGACCUCCUAAAGCAAUAACUCAAUGGCAUGCGUUAAACCCAUUAUCGAUAAAGUGACUUCUUGCAAUGCAAAAGUUUUUGCCGUACUUGUUGUGUUAAUUGUUUUGUUCUUUCAAUAUCCUGUAAAAGAGCUGUCUUUCAAACAAUUAAUUUAAAAUGCUUCAGAAAAUAACUUGUCACUUCUAUGAUUUAUCACUUGGCGUAAUUGGGAUCUGACUUUUAAGAAAUACUACGUCUUUGUGGUUGUUGAGUUUAUACUGAACAUUUUUUAGUCUGAAUGUCAUUAUUCGCAUAACGAUCAAAGGCGAUGUGUAGUGAACUCUAUUCAUUACAUUAUCGCUGUUUUUUUCUUAUCUGCUUUAUCAUUGGCGGUUUCACGUUCUCUGUGACAUUUUAAAAUAGUUUCUUCUAAAUUCCCCAAUUGUCGAGAAAGAAUUACCAGGCCGACCUGGGUUAAGUGUUGCUUGAAAAACUGCGUUCAAUUUACUUCGCUUGCCUAUUGUUCAUCGGUUUCGUGAAUUACUUUUUGUGUUACUCGAGUAUUUUUUUUUUUUCUAUUUGCUGUUGUCGACGAGGUGAUUCGUAUGGUGGUUCCCUUGACAAGGGAAUUGCUUCUUUGCGUGUCAGCCAACAUUGAUCCUUAAGUACUUUUAUGAGCAGCAAACCUUUCCUUCAUAAUUAUAUUGUCGUCACUGCUCCCUCGCGCCGUGUUUUGCCUUUCACGAUACCUCGGUGUUUUAAAGGUACCACAAAUAUCAAGAAAGAAAGGCUUUCAAAUUAUUUUCAGUAUGGGUGGAACUCAGACAGUACAAUUUGUCAUUGAGGGGGUAUGCAUUCAUUUGCGUCCAAUUUGCGCUCUGUCCGACUGUUACAACCAUUCCUUUGUGUUAGUUUCAAAUGGCCAGUGAACGUUGAACUUUAAAGAGCGCAUCAGGUUUGAAAUUGUAUCUCCGUUCGUUGCGGUACACUUUGUCCGUGUAGCUAAAAAUGUUUGAAAAAUCUAAUGACGAAGCUGAGAAGGCUUACAAUUCGACAUUAAAAGAAACUUUGCAUCCUUGGUGGGUGUUGACUCGUUACUGCAGCCUCUUACCGGAUUGGUGUCAUCCGCACCACGAUCAACCUCGACCCGUACUAAACGCCAUUCGUUGCAUUGCCAUCGUUGUAUUUUCUUGUUUCGUUUUCGCAAUGAUGACGUUUCAUUUUGUCCGAAUGGCGCUCGCUAUUGUCGUAAUGACCACCAUUCAUUCGGUUAUUCCCUACCUACUUUGGUUUUCAGCCCUUCCGAUUGCCCUCACUGCUCAGCUGUAUUACAUUUCCCGUCGCCAUUAUUUUUUGCGUUUCUUCAAGGACUGGGGCAAUGCCGAAAAACAAAUUAUGAUGGCCUACUGCCACCGGGAUCUUCGCACCACAAUUAGGAAGACGCGCAUUCUAGUUUACACUUCGAAAAUUGCGAUGCUGAUUGGACUGCUUGUCGGAAUGGGUUUCGUUAUCUUUCGUUUUCCUGAUGCUCCAUAUCUCUUGUCGCAUUUUAAAGUACUUCGUGAUCUUGCACCGGUCCCUGUUUUUGCUUCGAUUCAUCUCAUCACAAUUACUUUUGCCGUCACUUUUGCAUCUUUUUGCGACGCUGUGUCGGCGUUGGUCUUUUUCCAUAUCGCGUUAGAAGCGCGAGUCCUUUUCAAAGAAUUCGACAAAAUUUUUUUGCUUUUAAAUCCUUUGAUUACCGACUCCAACCAAACAGAGAGACUUGAAUUUAAAUCAGGUUUAUUAUUUUCUACUGAAUUGCGUCGAUUGGUGGGCUACUACGAAAAUCUGAGAAGUUUUGUCAAACGAGCGAAUUCUCUGUUCGGCAUCUUGUGGUUUCUAAAUCACGGUAUGAGAUUGACCAUCAUUUGUAUCAUGCUCUAUUCUGUCCUGUACAUGUUUCAAACUAAUCCUGAAGACGCCGGAAUUUACUUUGCUAACUUAGUAACUAAUCUGUACGAGCUUGUGCUUUGCACUGUGCUAAUGGCUCAAAUUUUUCGAGCCUCUGAUCGUCUACGCUCGAGGCUCGCCGUCCUAUUGACUAAGAACUGGGACUUGAUUACGAAAGGCGAUCGAGAAAUUCUGACCGUUUUUAUUGAUCGGCUUCAAACUGACCCUUUGGCUGCUUCUCCUUUGGGUCUUUAUAAAGUCACCCCUUCAUUUUUGAUGACUAUCGUGAGUCUGACUGUGAGUUACGUCAUUAUUUUACUCCAAUCCAAGUAGAAAACAUGAUCUGCAUUUUGCCAUUGUCUUUGUACUUGAAGCUACAAAUUACUCGAUUCAAUGACGACAUUGGCGAAGUGAAAAUUUUGUUCUCCGUUCAUAUCUAGUUCUCCAUACGCUUUGAACCAACAACUGUUUGCAUCGAAUAAGUAAAAUUAAGGGCCGUGUAACGUGAAAAGAGUAUGCAGUUAUGAAUUUUCCCUUGAUUUGUUUUUCACCGAUAAAGAAUGUGUUUUUAUUUAUUAUUGGUUUUUUAAUGUAGAACUCGUGUAGUCUCACCCGCUGCUGUUUUUUUUUCUCCAAUGAUGCAUCAUCUUUUUUAGUUAAAAAUUUUGGUUAAUUCUAAAGAGCUUCAUCAUUGUCUAUUAUUGCCAGAAAGACGGUCAUCUUGUCAUUGCGACGCAUCAGUCGCGUUAAUAGUCUUUAGAAAGCUGUUCUUUAUAUUGUAGCUCCUCCAUGUCUGUUUGUCCUUACGCAGUUCAAAACCACAGGCUUCAACAGUAAAUGUCCUAAUGAGCAGCAAAAACUUGUAACAAAGUGUCGGUUCUUAUAACGUGCAUUGGUUGGUCAUCUCCAAACCGAACUAUGCUGUAAUACAAUGCGCUAGGAAUACCACCAAACGAGGAAAGCUCUACGUUUUCGUUUGCUGUAUUUUUCAGCUAAUGCACAUGUUCUUCCAAAAAUGGAACUAAUCUCGGUCCAAGGCAUUCAAUGAAUGUGAAUUUUCUUUGUAUUCGUGUUGUUUUAAAAUGUGGCGUUUGUUUCACUUCGAAAAACGCUUACGUUAACUGGUAACUCCAGUUUCUGUUUAAAUGUCCAAUGCUUUGCUUUUCGGUACAUUCAGGCAUACCACCCGGUCUCAUUGAAGAUGUAAUAAUGUCGGAUCACAAGGUUAAGUAUAUGCAGAAUCUUAAAUUUUUUAUGCCAAGAAAGAUAAUAUGCGAAAGUUAGUGCUAUUCAUCCAUCCCUUGCAGAUUUUUAUCCUCUCACUACAAAAUACCUCAUAUCUAAUUAUUUGUAUUUAUCGCAUCAGAACAAGUUCAAUGACGAGACGUUUUGGCUUGAGCUUCUGGAGACAACUCAGGAAACUAAAUUCGCCUUGUUGCCCAUAACGAAUUCUAGGUCGUCUCCCCAAGUUGAGAUCAGAUAUUGCCGAUUGGAAACAAAGCAUUACUCGACACAGAGUUUAUCUUCGUCAUCCGUGUUGCAGCGCUUCAUUUGUUCCAUACAACAGGAGUUCAAUUUCCGAGUAACUACCGCGUUGUUACAUGCAAUUAGUAAGGUCAAUUUAAAAUUUUCCCCUUGAAACACAACCUUUUUUUAUUCGAAUCGUCUUGGACAAGUAUCAAACACAGCUAAGAUGUGUCACUAAUAUGGUGCAUUUUGGAGGUCCAAAAUUGUGUUGGAAUUUUAUGUAUCACUGAUUCCUCCGUUCUGAAUGAAAGACACCUUAUCCCCGUCGAUUAGUUGCGUUUAAUGUAUUACCAUUGAUUGCCAUUUCAGCAUCAAUUACCAAGUUGAAAAAUGUUCAAUACAGGUUGAACCAUUGUUGGAUUCCAAAGCCAUCUUGCAUAACACAAUUUUCCCCUCAGUUCUAUGCAUCUCUUUUCGUAUGCUGGCAGAAUAAUGAAAACACUUUCUUAUUUA